GCCGGGCUCAGUAUGGCGUGCCUGUAGUCUCAGCUACUCGGGAGGCUGAGGUGGGAGGAUCGCUUGAGCCCAGGAGUUCUGGGCUGUAGUGUGCUAUGCAGAUUGGGUGUCCGUACUAAGUUCAGCAUCAAUAUGGUGACCUCCCAGGAGCAGGGGACCACCAGGUUGCCUAAGAAGAGGUGAAUUGCCCCGAGUCAGAAACGGAGCAGUUCAAAACUCCAGCGCUGAUCAGUAUUGGGAACACAACUGUGAAUAGCCACUGCACUCCAGCCUGGGCAACAUAGCGAGAUCCCAUCUCU
rnacentral:SRP_RNA from 1 species